AUUGAACGCUGGCGGCAUGCCUAACACAUGCAAGUCGAACGAGUGGCGGACGGGUGGGUAAUGUCUGGGCAACUGCCUGGUGGAUGGGGAUAACUACUGGAAACGGUAGCUAAUACCGCAUACCAUCAGAUGUGCCCAGAUGGGGUUUGCUAGUUGGGGGGGUAACGGCUCACCAAGGCGACGAUCCCGAGCGGGUCUGAGAGGAUGAACAGCGCCACUGGAAGUGAGACACGGGCCAGAAGCCCACGGGAGGCACCAGUGGGGAAUAUUGCACAAAGGGGGCAAGCCUGAGGCAGACAUGCCCCGUGUAUGAAGAAGGCCUUCGGGUGGUAAAGUACUUUCAGCGGGGAGGGGUUACCCGAAGAAGAAGCACCGGCUAACUCCGCGCCAGCAGCCGCGGUAAUAC
rnacentral:rRNA from 1 species